GUUAAUGUAGCUUAAACUAAAGCAAGGCACUGAAAAUGCCUAGAUGGGUAUUUAACUCCAUAAACA
rnacentral:tRNA from 3 species